rnacentral:pre_miRNA from 1 species
AAUGGGAUAACUGGGUCAAAUGGUACUUCCACUCCAGUUUCUUUGAGGAAUCUCCAUACUGCUUUACAGAGUGGUUGCACCAAUUUGCAGUCCCACCAGCAAU